CCCAUAGGGUCUCUGGACCAUGUGGAAAAAUUCACUGUUGUAUUUCCACUUUGCAUCAGCCACCACCAGGAAGAGUCUCUCCUGGUUUGGCCUGGCUGGUGCUGGGACACAAGGCUUCCGAACCUCCGUUUCUGCCGUGAAAAGAAAAGGAUGGGAAGAGAGGUGAAGAAAGAAGGAAAAAAGUGUUUAGGUGCAACCUGUUACAAAGGGAAUAAAAUCGAGAGAAAAAGAAGAAAAAGUAAUGGAGUCAAAUGCAAUGUGAGAGAUGGGAAUGGACAAAAAUCCUGCCACUUCCAGGAUUCCGUCUGGAACUCUGAAGCUAGAGCAGUGGUAACCAUGGAUGAGGUUCAAAGCAUCCU